AGAGUUUGAUCCUGGCUCAGGACGAACGCUGGCGGCACGCUUAACACAUGCAAGUCGAACGAGAGAAGAGGAGCUUGCUUUUCUGAUCUAGUGGCGGACGGGUGAGUAACACGUGAGCAAUCUGCCUUUCAGAGGGGGAUACCGAUUGGAAACGAUCGUUAAUACCGCAUAACAUAAUUGAACCGCAUGAUUUGAUUAUCAAAGAUUUAUCGCUGAAAGAUGAGCUCGCGUCUGAUUAGCUAGUUGGUAAGGUAACGGCUUACCAAGGCGACGAUCAGUAGCCGGACUGAGAGGUUGAUCGGCCACAUUGGGACUGAGACACGGCCCAGACUCCUACGGGAGGCAGCAGUGGGGAAUAUUGCACAAUGGAGGAAACUCUGAUGCAGCGAUGCCGCGUGAGGGAAGAAGGUUUUAGGAUUGUAAACCUCUGUCUUCAGGGACGAAAAAAAAGACGGUACCUGAGGAGGAAGCUCCGGCUAACUACGUGCCAGCAGCCGCGGUAAUACGUAGGGAGCGAGCGUUGUCCGGAAUUACUGGGUGUAAAGGGAGCGUAGGCGGGAUCGCAAGUCAGAUGUGAAAACUAUGGGCUUAACCCAUAAACUGCAUUUGAAACUGUGGUUCUUGAGUGAAGUAGAGGUAAGCGGAAUUCCUAGUGUAGCGGUGAAAUGCGUAGAUAUUAGGAGGAACACCAGUGGCGAAGGCGGCUUACUGGACGAUAACUGACGCUGAGGCUCGAAAGCGUGGGGAGCAAACAGGAUUAGAUACCCUGGUAGUCCACGCCGUAAACGAUGAUUACUAGGU
rnacentral:rRNA from 1 species